rfam:Cucumis sativus cultivar 9930 chromosome 1, whole genome shotgun sequence.
GAAACGCACCAGGGGUGCCUCGACCAAGUGUAGCUGCUCGAUCGGCAGUUAACUGGUCAGGCUGAGAUAGUCCCUUUGAACCUGAACAGGAUAAUGCCUGCGUAGGGAGCGUGCUUUUCUGUUUUU